UACGUAGGGUGCAAGCGUUGUCCGGAAUUAUUGGGCGUAAAGAGCUCGUAGGCGGUUUGUUGCGUCGGCUGUGAAAUCCCGAGGCUCAACCUCGGGUCUGCAGUCGAUACGAGCAAACUAGAGUGUUGCAGGGGAGACUGGAAUUCCUGGUGUAGCGGUGAAAUUCGUAGAUAUCAGGAGGAACACCAGUCGGCGAAGGCGGCUUCCUGGACACCAA
rnacentral:rRNA from 1 species